rnacentral:rRNA from 1 species
AAUGGGCGAAAGCCUGACGCAGCAACGCCGUGUGAGGGAUGAAGGCUUUCGGGUCGUAAACCUCUGUCGGAAGGGAAGAACGGGCAUUGGUCUAAUAGGCCUUUGUUUUGACGGUACCUUUAGAGGAAGCACCGGCAAACUCCGUGCCAGCAGCCGCGGUAAUACGGAGGGUGCAAGCUUUUUUGGAAAUUACUGGGCGUAAAGCGCACGUGGGGGGCCUUGUAAGUCAGGGGUGAAAUCCCAGGGCUCACCCGGGGAACUGCCUUUGAAACUGCAGGGCUUGAAUCCUGGAGAGGGUGGGGGAAUUCUUGGUGUAGGAGUGAAAUCCGUAGAUAUCAGGAGGAACACCGGUGGGGAAGGCGGCCACCGGGACAGGUAUUGACGGUGAGGUGAGAAAGUGGGGGGAGCAAACAGGAUUAGAUCCCCUGGUUGUCCACCCCGUAAACGAUGGAUACUAGGUUGGGGGACUUGAUCUUCAGUGCCGUAGCUAAACGCGAUAAGUAUCC